CAUGGAAAAUUCGUAAUGAAGAAAGGACUAGGAAAAGGAGGAGAUUCAUACAUAAAUUGCUUGUUGUCUACACAAUGGAUCUGACUUUUCAACCUUGAUAUUUCUAUCUUCGGUAGGACAGCAUUGUAUACACCAGCGUUGCACUCGGUGAGUUCGUUCAAAGAGCAGUGGAUGCAAACAACACGUGUAAACCUCUGCAUCGAAUUAGCAAGAGAAAUAUGGUUCUAAUGCGAAUUAUUCCACGAUGCGGAUGCUCAUGGAAGAAAGAGGCUCGUGGCGCUACCGAUGGAAACGGACGAACAGCACACAAGGAGAGAGAGAGAGAGAGAGAAAGAAGGGGGAGGAGAGGAAGAACGUUGCUCAAACAUCCGAGUGUUUAUCACGUCGAGUGAAUGAUUACAACGAUGGGUUCCACGGUUUUUAGAUUGGACGAGUUUCUUUUUCUUGGCGGGAGAUGGAACGAUUGCGUGGACGAUUUGUUGGAGUUGUUAGGUAACAGGAGGGUAAUGAAUUCAUUUUUAUCGUUUCUUCCUAAAAAUUCUUUUUGUUUAUUUUUCUUCGUUAUGCAGGUUUUUACU